CAGCCGCCACGGGAAUACGGAGGAUCCAAGCGUUAUCCGGAUUUAUUGGGUUUAAAGGGUGCGUAGGUGGCCUGUUAAGUCAGGGGUGAAAGACGGUAGCUCAACUAUCGCAGUGCCCUUGAUGCUGAUGGGCUUGAAUGAACUAGAGGUAGGCGGAAUGUGACAAGUAGCGGUGAAAUGCAUAGAUACGUCACAGAACACCAAUUGCGAAGGCAGCUUACUAUGGUUUUAUUGACACUGAGGCACGAAAGCGUGGGGAUCAAACAGGAUUAGAUACCCCAGUAGUCCCUGUCUCUUAUAA
rnacentral:rRNA from 1 species